UGCUUGGCAGUAUAACUUUAUCACUUCAAUAUAACAUGCUGUAUAUACAGACCCAUGUUUUCUACUUGCUUUUUGUUGUUGUUCAGAGAAGGAUCACUGGGUCUGGGGCAAUCAGAGAAGACCUCAUGAGGACUGGAAAAUCUUAUUUCUUGAAGUUCAAGCUCAAGUAUCAACAAGGAAGAAAAUGCCAAAUAGAAGGAAUGAUAUGAGCGAAGGAGGUGUGAAGGACAAGUUCCAUGACAGCAAGAACUUCAUUUCAUUCACUGCUCUGUCCUCAGUGCCUAGUUCAGUGCCUGACACAUUGCAGCUUCUAGAUAAAAAGUAAAGAAGUAUUCAAAGAUUGAUACAGACGUGUCAAAAGGACUUGGGAGCCAGCUUGAAGGGAGUUUCACCGGCCAAAUUUGGAAAAUUUGACCUUUGAAAUAAAUAAUGAUAGUGAUGAUUUACAA